rnacentral:rRNA from 2 species
UGGGGAAUAUUGGGCAAUGGAGGCAACUCUGACCCAGCAACGCCGCGUGAGGGAAGAAGGUUUUCGGAUUGUAAACCUCUGUCCUUGGGGACGAAGAAAGUGACGGUACCCAAGGAGGAAGCCCCGGCUAACUACGUGCCAGCAGCCGCGGUAAUACGUAGGGGGCGAGCGUUGUCCGGAAUUACUGGGCGUAAAGGGUGCGUAGGCGGUUGCCUAAGUCAGAUGUGAAAUCCCCGGGCUUAACUCGGGUGUUGCAUUUGAAACUGGGCGGCUUGAGUGCAGGAGAGGGAAGCGGAAUUCCUAGUGUAGCGGUGAAAUGCGUAGAUAUUAGGAGGAACACCAGUGGCGAAGGCGGCUUUCUGGACUGUAACUGACGCUGAUGCACGAAAGCGUGGGGAGCAAACAGG